rnacentral:rRNA from 1 species
AAGUCGAACGAAGUACCCUUGAAAGAGUUUUCGGACAAUGGAUAGGACUACUUAGUGGCGGACGGGUGAGUAACGCGUGAGUAAUCUGCCUUUGAGUGGGGAAUAACAGCUGGAAACGGCUGCUAAUACCGCAUAAAGCAAUCGAGUCGCAUGGCUUGAUUGCCAAAGAUUUAUCGCUUAAAGAUGAGCUCGCGUCUGAUUAGCUAGUUGGCGGGGUAAUGGCCCACCAAGGCUUCGAUCAGUAGCCGGACUGAGAGGUUGAACGGCCACAUUGGGACUGAGAUACGGCCCAGACUCCUACGGGAGGCAGCAGUGGGGAAUAUUGGGCAAUGGGCGCAAGCCUGACCCAGCAACGCCGCGUGAAGGAAGAAGGCUUUCGGGUUGUAAACUUCUUUUGUCAAGGACGAAACAAAUGACGGUACUUGACGAAUAAGCCACGGCUAACUACGUGCCAGCAGCCGCGGUAAUACGUAGGUGGCGAGCGUUAUCCGAAUUUACUGGGUGUAAAGGGCGUGUAGGCGGGACUGCAAGUCAGAUGUGAAAUUUCCAGGCUUAACCUGAAGCGUGCAUUUGAAACUGUGGUUCUUGAGUGAUGGAGAGGCAGGCGGAAUUCCUAGUGUAGCGGUGAAAUGCGUAGAUAUUAGGAGGAACACCAGUGGCGAAGGCGGCCUGCUGGACAUUAACUGACGCUGAGGCGCGAAAGCGUGGGGAGCAAACAGGAUUAGAUACCCUGGUAGUCCACGCCGUAAACGAUGGAUACUAGGUGUGGGGGGUCUGACCCCUCCCGUGCCGCAGUUAACACAAUAAGUAUCCCACCUGGGGAGUACGAUCGCAAGGUUGAAACUCAAAGGAAUUGACGGGGGCCCGCACAAGCGGUGGAGUAUGUGGUUUAAUUCGAAGCAACGCGAAGAACCUUACCAGGGCUUGACAUCCCUGUGACCGGACUAGAGAUAGUCCUUCCCUUCGGGGCACAGGUGACAGGUGGUGCAUGGUUGUCGUCAGCGCGUGUCGUGAGAUGUUGGGUUAAGUCCCGCAACGAGCGCAACCCUUAUUGUUAGUUGCUACGCAAGAGCACUCUAGCGAGACUGCCGUUGACAAAACGGAGGAAGGUGGGGACGACGUCAAAUCAUCAUGCCCCUUAUGUCCUGGGCUACACACGUACUACAAUGGCGGCCAACAACGGGAAGCAAUACCGCGAGGUGGAGCAAAUCCCCAAAAGCCGUCCCAGUUCGGAUUGCAGGCUGAAACUCGCCUGUAUGAAGUUGGAAUCGCUAGUAAUCGCGGAUCAGCAUGCCGCGGUGAAUACGUUCCCGGGCCUUGUACACACCGCCCGUCACACCAUGAGAGUCGGGAACACCCGAAGUCCGUAGCCUAACCGCAAGGAGGGCGCGGC